rnacentral:tRNA from 1 species
AAGAAAGUGACAGACCGGUUAUGUGGUCGGCUUGAAACCGAUAUACGGGGGUUCGACUCCUCCCUUUCUCG